UCACGCCCUCGCUCUGGACGCUCCCGCCUGCGCCCUGCCCCACAGACCGGCAGACGCGAGUCUGCCUCCUUCUCAAGGUUGACCUCGGAUCAGGUAGGACUACCCGCUGAACUUAAGCAUAUCAAUAAGCGGAGGAAAAGAAACCAACAGGGAUUGCCCCAGUAACGGCGAGUGAAGCGGCAACAGCUCAGAUUUGGAAUCUGGCCCCCAGGGCCCGAGUUGUAAUCUGGAGAGGAUGCUUCUGGCGCGGCGCCUUCCGAGUUCCCUGGAACGGGACGCCGGAGAGGGUGAGAGCCCCGUACGGUUGGACGCCUAGCCUUUGUGAAGCUCCUUCGACGAGUCGAGUAGUUUGGGAAUGCUGCUCAAAAUGGGAGGUAAAUUUCUUCUAAAGCUAAAUACCGGCCAGAGACCGAUAGCGCACAAGUAGAGUGAUCGAAAGAUGAAAAGCACUUUGAAAAGAGGGUCAAACAGUACGUGAAAUUGUUGAAAGGGAAGCGCCCGUGGCCAGACUUGUGCCCCGCGGACCACCCGGCGCCCUCAGCGCCGGUGCACUCCGCGGGGCGCAGGCCAGCAUCGGUUUUCCUAGGGGGAUAAAGGCGGCGGGAACGUGGCUCCCUCGGGAGUGUUAUAGCCCGCCGCGCCAUGCCCCUGGGGGGACCGAGGACCGC
rnacentral:rRNA from 1 species